AAUAAACCAAAAGUAUGUGGAAAAAUUGCGCAUACUUAGGCAUCAUAAAAACUUAAUUCACACCAACCAUUUACUUCGAUAUUUUUUAGUGUAUGGCAGAAAAAUAAAUUACGAAUUGUCUUAGAUAAAUAAAGUUACCGGACCUUUAUUACUUAAUCCAUAAACAAUUAUUGUUUCAUUCGAUUUAACACCACAAUAAAAAACAAAGCUUUUUCUAUUUAUUUUCGAAAAACGUUUUACAGGAAACCGAGUUCUUUUGUAGCAUUUUAGUUAGAGUUAUAGAAAAAUCUAUAACUCUUAUUUUGUUAAGUAAAAAAAAAAUCUUAUGCUCUUCUAAUUUUAGUCACCAAUAACAACUAUGUUAGGAAUAGUAGAAAAUGUUAUGUGUGGUAGAGAAACUGUUUUAGUGUGGUGUUGUAGGAGUACUGCGGGUCUAAGAAACUUUGUUUUCAUCGAUAAAUUAUUCUAUUGGUCUAUUAAAACAGUAUGAAAACUUUCCAGUAUUUAUAUUUGAUGUCUUUUUUUCAUUUUAUUUUAUAAUUGUAAUUUAAGUUUCAAAAAGCAGCAAAAACAACUUGAAAAGAACUAUCGCACAAUGACUCGCUUAAACACAGGAUUCUAAUUUCCUGAUAUACAUGGAAAUGCUGAUAUUGCUUUCACUAUAUUGUCUCUUUGUAAUGUGUAACAUCAUUUUUACUUAGGUUUGCCAAAUGACCGGCUUUUACAGAGUAGAAUAUAGUCCCAAACAUAUACAGUUCAGUUCUUUUACUGCUUUCUUCUUCAUAAAAGCCGGACGUCUUGCAACCCUUGAAUUUCCCCUUCUUUUUGUUUGCAUAAAUUACAUAAUUCUCUUAAUUAUAAAUACUCCAAAUCCGAUUUUCGAACAGCGUAUUUUAAAAUCUAAAGAAAUAUAAGCGAUUAAAGAUUACAUUUUGCAAGCCAACUGGAUGCUUAAACAACUCAAAAGACAGCCACGCGCUCAUUAUAGCUCUCUUAUAGUUUUAGAAUCUGAGUGAGUUACUGUUUUGAAUAUCUAAAAUCUUCAAAUUAAGUUUUUAUGAUUUUAAGUUAAAUUAGACUUAAGAAUAUGUGUAAGAAUUGAGAAUAAAUAUUUACUUUUUAUUUUAGAAAUGAACACACAAGAAAAUUUAAACGACGAUGAUGGUGACUUUUUUAGAAAUGCGCAGGAGAUAGUGGCAGAAGAGACAGAGUCUUUUCUGCCUUAUUUGAAAGAAUUCUUAGAUAAUCAAAGUUAGCAUUUUCUAUUUUUUCUUUUUUACUUCAGUUUUUUCGAAGUUUAUGUUACAGUAAAUAAAUUUAUGAACUAAUCUU